CACGUAGGAGGCGAGCGUUGUCCGGAAUCAUUGGGCGUAAAGAGCGCGCCAGGCGGCUUGGCAAGUCGGGGUGUGAAAUCCCGGGGCUCAACCCCGGGACUGCAUUCGAUACUGUCGAGGCUAGAGGUAGGUAGGGGAGAUCGGAAUUCCUGGUGUAGCGGUGAAAUGCGCAGAUAUCAGGAGGAACACCGGUGGCGAAGGCGGGUCUCUGGGCCGAUACUGACGCUGAGGAGCGAAAGCGUGGGGAGCGAACAGG
rnacentral:rRNA from 1 species